GACAGUACCUGGAGAAUAAGCUCCGGCUAACUCCGUGCCAGCAGCCGCGGUAAUACGGAGGGAGCUAGCGUUGUUCGGAAUUACUGGGCGUAAAGAGUACGUAGGCGGUUAUUCAAGUCAGAGGUGAAAGCCUGGAGCUCAACUCCAGAACUGCCUUUGAAACUAGAUAGCUAGAAUUAUGGAGAGGUUAGUGGAAUUCCGAGUGUAGAGGUGAAAUUCGUAGAUAUUCGGAAGAACACCAGUGGCGAAGGCGACUCACUGGACAAGUAUUGACGUUGAGGUACGAAAGCGUGGGGAGCAAACAGGAUUAGAUACCCUGGUAGUCCACGCCGUAAACGAUGAUAACUAGCUGUUCGGG
rnacentral:rRNA from 1 species